GGACAAUUUAAUUAAUAAAACAUCAGACUUUUAAUCUGAAGUUCCAGGGUUUAAAUCUCUAGUCCA
rnacentral:tRNA from 1 species